GAUGAACGCUGGCGGCGUGCCUAAUACAUGCAAGUCGAGCGAACGGACGAGAAGCUUGCUUCUCUGAUGUUAGCGGCGGACGGGUGAGUAACACGUGGAUAACCUACCUAUAAGACUGGGAUAACUUCGGGAAACCGGAGCUAAUCCCGGAUAAUAUUUUGCACCGCAUUGUUCAAAAGUGAAAGACGGUCUUGCUGUCACUUAUAGAUGGAUCCGCGCUGCAUUAGCUAGUUGGUAAGGUAACGGCUUACCAAGGCAACGAUGCAUAGCCGACCUGAGAGGAUGAUCGCCCACACUGGAGCGGAGACACGGUCCAGAGUCCUACGGGAGGCAGCAGUAGGGAAUCUUCGGCAAUGGGCGAAAGCCGGACAGAGCAACGCCGCGUGAGGGAUGGAGGUCAUAGGAUCGUAAAACUCUGUUAUUAGGGAAGAACAUAUGUGUAAGUAACUGUGCACAUCUUGACGGUACCUAAUCAGAAAGCCACGGCUAACUACGUG
rnacentral:rRNA from 1 species